rnacentral:rRNA from 1 species
AGGGUUUGAUUAUGGCUCAGAGCGAACGCUGGCGGCAGGCUUAACACAUGCAAGUCGAACGAUAAGCUAAACUUCGAUUUAGUGGACAGUGGCAGACGGGUGAGUAACGCGUGGGAAUCUACCUUUGAGUGGGGAAUAACAAUUAGAAAUGAUUGCUAAUACCGCAUAUACCCUCCGGGGGAAAGGCUUCGGCCGCUCUUAGAUGAGCCCGCGUACGAUUAGUUUGUUGGUGAGGUAAUGGCUCACCAAGACUACGAUCGUUAGCUGGUUUGAGAGGAUGAUCAGCCACACUGGGACUGAGACACGGCCCAGACUCCUACGGGAGGCAGCAGUGGGGAAUAUUGGACAAUGGGCGAAAGCCUGAUCCAGCCAUGCCGCGUGAGUGAAGAAGGCCUUAGGGUUGUAAAACUCUUUCGGCAGGGAAGAUAAUGACGGUACCUGCAUAAGAAGCUCCGGCUAACUCCGUGCCAGCCGCCGCGGUAAUAC